rnacentral:lncRNA from 1 species
AAAUUCACCCCAAAAUUGACCCAGAAUCGACCCCAAAAAUUGACCCCGAGACCCCCAAAAUUGACCCCAAAAUCCAACCUUGAGACCCCCAAAAAUUGACCCCAAAUUGACCCCAAAAUCCGACCCCGAGACCCCCAAAAUUGACCCCAAAAUCCGACCCCGAGACCCCCAAAAUCGACCCAAAAUUGACCCAAAAUUGACCCCAAAAUUGACCCUGAGACCCUCAAAAUGACCCCAAAAUUGGGUCUGGGGACCCCCAAAAUUCACCCCAAAAUUGACCCAGAAUCGACCCCAAAAAUUGACCCCGAGACCCCCAAAAUUGACCCAAAAUUGACCCCAAAAAUGGACCCAAAAAUGACCCCAAAAUCCGACAAUGAGACCCCCAAAAUCGACCCCAAAAUGGACUCAAAGACCCCCAAAAUUGACCCCAAUUUGGCCCCAAAAUCCGACCCCGAGACCCCCAAAAUGACCCCAAAAUUUGGUCUGGAGACCCCCAAAAUUGACCCCAAAUUGACCCCGAGACCCCCAAAAUUGACCCCAAAAUCGACCCAAAAAUGGACCCCGAGACCCCCAAAAUUGACCCCAAAAUCGACCCCAAAAGGGACCCCAAGACCCCCAAAAUUGACCCCAAAUUCGGCCCCAAAAUCCGACCCCAAAAUCCGACCCCGAGACCCCCAAAAUCGACUCCAAAAUUGGGUCUGGAGACCCCAAAAUCGACCCCAAAUUGGACCCGAGGACCCCCCGGGGUUUGAGGAAUUUUACCAAAAUAAAGGAAAUUUUUGUGGAAUUUUAUUGGGGUUUUAUUGGGAUUUUAUUGGGAUUUUAUCGGGGUUUUAUUGGGAUUUUAUUGGGGUUUUUUUGGGAUUUUAUUGGGGUUUUAUCGGGAUUUUAUUGGGAUUUUAUUGGGAUUUUAUUGGGGUUUUAUUGGGGUUUUAUUGGGAUUUUAUUGGGGUUUUAUUGGGAUUUUAUUGGGGUUUUAUCGGGAUUUUAUUGGGAUUUUAUUGGGAUUUUAUUGGGAUUUUAUUGGGGUUUUAUUGGGGUUUUAUUGGAAUUUUAUCGGGGUUUUAUUGGGAUUUUAUUGGGGUUUUAUUGGAAUUUUAUCGGGGUUUUAUUGGGAUUUUAUUGGGGUUUUAUCGGGAUUUUAUUGGGAUUUUAUUGGGAUUUAAUUGGAAUUUUAUCGGGGUUUUAUUGGGAUUUUAUUGGGGUUUUAUUGGGAUUUUAUUGGGAUUUUAUUGGGAUUUUAUCGGGAUUUUAUUGGGAUUUUAUUGGGAUUUUAUUGGGAUUUUAUUGGGGUUUUAUUGGGAUUUUAUUGGGGUUUUAUUGGGAUUUUAUUGGGGUUUUUUUGGGAUUUUAUUGGGAUUUUAUUGGGGUUUUAUCGGGAUUUUAUUGGGAUUUUAUUGGGAUUUUAUUGGGAUUUUGGCGGGAUUUUUUGGCGGGAUUUUCAUGGAAUUUUGGCGGGAUUUCCAUGGAUUUUUGGCGGGAAUUUCGGUGGGGAUUUUGGCGGGAAUUUUGUUGGGAUUUCCGUGGCAUUUUGGCGGGAAUUCCGGUGGUGAUUUUGGCGGGAAUUUCCAUGGAAUUUUGGCGGG